CCUACGGGUGGCAGCAGUGAGGAAUAUUGGUCAAUGGCCGAGAGGCUGAACCAGCCAAGUCGCGUGAGGGAAGACGGCCCUACGGGUUGUAAACCUCUUUUGUCGGGGAGCAAAUCGAGUCACGUGUGACUCUUUUAUAGUACCCGAAGAAAAAGCAUCGGCUAACUCCUUGCCAGCAGCCGCGGUAAUACGGAGGAUGCGAGCGUUAUCCGGAUGUAUUGGGGUUAAAGGGUCCGCAGGCGUAGGUGCAGGCCAGAGGUAAAAUUUCGGGGCUCAACCCCGUACUGCCGUUGAAACUGCAUCACUUGAGUGCGCGAGAGGUAUGCGGAAUGCGUGGUGUAGCGGUGAAAUGCAUAGAUAUCACGCAGAACUCCGAUUGCGAAGGCAGCAUACCGGCGUGAAACUGACGCUCAUGCACGAAAGCGUGGGUAUCGAACAGGAUUAGAUACCCGAGUAGUC
rnacentral:rRNA from 1 species